GAAGAAAUGGAAGUAUCUCCUUCCUGAAGUUGAUUAGAAUAAUCUGCAUAUUGAUUUUCAACGAAGAUAUCACAGACAGAACAGAAAACCAGAGAGCUUGAAUAAGAGGCUGGGACUGAGGGGCUUGAGCAAAAGGAAGGAGCUGGUCACGAAGAACAAGGUCUUUGUCCAAUCUGCUCUUUAUGGUAUCAGAGAACCUCUUCCCAAUCAAGAACCCCAUCUGAUAUGCAGAUUCGCAUGGACCAACUUCGAACAUCUCCACCUUCUUGCCCGCCAUACCCCAACUUUUCUGCUCUUUCUUUUUAUGGAGUUUUGGUGCAAUUAAGGGAUAUUUCUGCUGACCGAAUUCUCUGGAUAAAACACAAUCCAACCCCAAGUGUUAUGUUUUGAACAUGCUAAGGUUAUUAAGCUGGAACAUUAUCUAUAAUGUCUCAAUGAUGGGUCUUACAGCUAUUGCAUCUUCAA